AACGAACGCUGGCGGCAUGCCUAACACAUGCAAGUCGAACGAGACCUUCGGGUCUAGUGGCGCACGGGUGCGUAACGCGUGGGAACCUGCCCUUAGGUUCGGAAUAACUCCCCGAAAGGGGUGCUAAUACCGGAUAAUUUCUUCGGACCAAAGAUUUAUCGCCUUUGGAUGGGCCCGCGUUUGAUUAGAUUGUUAGUAGGGUAAAAGCCUACCAAGGCUACGAUACAUAGCUGGUAUGAGAGGAUGAUCAGCCACACUGGGACUGAGACACGGCCGAGACUACUACGGGAGGAAGCAGAGGGGAAUAUAGGAAAAUGGGGGAAAGGAUGAAGCAGCAAUGCCGGGAGAGUGAUGAAGGCCUUAGGGUAGUAAAGCACUUUUAAACGGGAUGAUAAUGACAGUACCGGGAGAAUAAGCACCGGCUAACUCCGUG
rnacentral:rRNA from 1 species